rnacentral:lncRNA from 1 species
CUUGCCAGAAAAGUGUCAGCUGUUAUAGAAGUAGAGUGAUAGUCAACUGCCCACAAAUUUGUCCAUGCAUAUUUCAUGAAGACUAAUAUAGAUGUCCACUCUCCCCUUAUGCUUUCAGGGAAUUACCCACUUAAUGUAAAGUGAGCUCCUUUUCUUGGUUAUCAACUGUUUUAGAGGUAGAUGACAUGUACAAAUUAGUAUAUAUUAUUAUAUAUUGUUUCAUUUAAAGCAAAAUGCAACAUAUGACAUACAGUUAAUACAGUGCCCCGUUGAUUUAAAAAAUAUGUAACUCAGAAUGCUAAAUCAAAAUAAUCAAAUAUAUCAUUUUGAGACAGAAAACAAGCGUUCAAAAAAGUAAAAAUCUUUAGAAAUUACAACAACAAAAAAAAGAAAGAAAAUUUGCAUUUUAUUUACUAACAUAACUGGUCACAUUCGGCAACUGCUGUUCCAAACUUAACAAAAUAUUGAGGUACCUUGUGCAAUCUAUAGCUUAGACCUGUCUUGAGAAUAAAUUAUAACCUCAUAAAACUGAUAAAUGUACGUUCCAUAUUAUCUGUUACUUUCACUGAAUAUAAUCAUAUUUAGAAACACUGUCUUCACCUGAGUAGAAACACCUACCAAACCCCCUGUAUUUAUGUGAAAAAAGACUCUGUUAAUGUUGCAUCCUAGUUAGUCAUGCCAACAGAACCAAACACACAGUCGAGGUUAUGGUGCCAGGAGUGCCCUUAUGCCAUCCCAUGGAAUGUAGCUAUGCUAUUUUAGUAUGGUACGACAACUUAUGUGGGUGCUGCUAAGUACCUGUGGCCCCAUAAACUGCUUAUGGUUGUUUCCUUUAGCAGAAUCCAGUUAGCUCUAUAGAGUUCUACACCUAAGAGGGGUCAUGCAGAACUGGGCUCACUGACUGAGAGCAUCAGCUAAGUGCUCUCAGCCAAAGAGCAUGCACUUUGUGCCAUAGAGACAUCUGGCUUCUCCUACAAGAGAACAUCCAAUGUGGCGCAUGCACAAAUUGCCAAACUGUACUAAAAAUGGGUUGACUAUUCUACUUAAAACUAGAUUGCUCAGGGCACUCCUGCACCACUUUUAGGCAGUAUGGUUUCAUGAUAAAUGUCUUUGUUUUCUUUCAUCUUACAUCUGUAUGGUAUUUCAGGUAAAGUGGGGUGUGUGUGUAUGUGUAUAAUUAUUAGUGUAGGUGUUGUAUUCAGAAAUGAGCCAAUGUUGUAACCUAUUCCCUAAUGGAAUGAAGGCCUUUUCAAAAAGCUUGGGUGUUAUUGUCAUGGAAAGGGCAUGUAUUUCUAUGGUGCUUUCAGAGUAAUGAAGAUAAAGUAAAAACAAAUCAAUACAUCUACACCAGGAGCAGGGAACUUCGGCACUGCAGAUGCUGUGAACUACAUCUCCCAUAAUGCUCUUACACACAUUCUGGUAAAGCAUCAUGGGAGAUGUAUUCCUGAGGGAGAUGCAGUCCACAACAUCUAAAAUGCCAGGGUUUACAUAGACCAUGGUGUGAAGAAAUGAGGGGCCAUUUUCUCGGUACAUUCUGGAUAAUACUAUAUAUAAUUUUAUUUAUUUUGCCUAUAUAUUUAUUCCAUAACCCACUGUUUGUGAUUUUUAUUUUAGGUGAAAAAAAUAUGUAUUGUGUCUCAACUCAGAAUGGCCAAAUUAUAUUUUAAUAUUAAUGAAC